GACUUCGCCGCGCGUUGGUCAGCCAUGGCCACCGCUCUCGCGCUACGUAGCUUGUACCGAGCGCGACCCUCGCUGCGCUGUCCGCCCGUUGAGCUUCCCUGGGCCCCGCGGCGAGGGCAUCGGCUCUCGCCGGCGGAUGACGAGCUGUAUCACCGGACGCGCAUCUCUCUGCUGCAACGCGAGGCUGCUGAGGCCACGUACAUCGACAGCUACAACAGCCGCGGCUUCAUGAUAAACGGAAACCGCGUGCUCGGCCCCUGCGCUCUGCUCCCGCACUCGGUGGUGCAAUGGAACGUGGGAUCCCACCAGGACAUCACCGAAGAGAGCUUUUCCCUCUUCUGGAUGCUGGAGCCCCGGAUAGGUACUGGGGGAGGGGAGGGAGAACAGAGGUAUUCUGGGCCCCAAAAGGCGACCCCCACUGCAGCCUCUCAACAGAACUGUAGACUAGCCACACCCACCCUUCCCUAGAAAUUGUUGUGGUGGGGACUGGAGACCGGACCGAGAGGCUGCAGUCCCAGGUGCUUCAAGCCAUGAGGCAGCGGGGCAUUGCUGUGGAAGUGCAGGACACGGUGAGUCCCGGGACUGGGGCAUGCUGCGGGGAGCACAGGCCUGGCGCUAGACAGGCUGAUGCUGGCCUUUUCUUUGCAGCCCAAUGCCUGUGCCACCUUCAACUUCCUGUGUCAUGAAGGCCGAGUAACUGGAGCUGCUCUCAUCCCUCCACCAGGAGGGACUUCACUCACAUCUUUGGGCGAAGUUGCUCAAUGAACCG
rnacentral:sRNA from 1 species